UACAGAGGGGGCUAGCGUUGUUCGGAAUCACUGGGUGUAAAGGGUGCGUAGGCUGUCCGUUAAGUCUGAUGUGAAAGCCCUGGGCUCAACUCAGGAAUUGCAUUGGAAACUGGCGGACUCAGAGUACCGGAGAGGGAAGCGGAAUUCCUGGUGUAGUGGUGAAAUGCGUAGAUAUCGGGAGGAACACCAGUGGCGAAGGCGACUACCUGGCCUGUUCUUGACGCUGAGGCGCGAAAGCUAGGGGAGCAAACGGG
rnacentral:rRNA from 1 species